GUGCUUGCUUAGGCAGCACAUAUACUAAAAUUGGAACAAUACAGAGAAGAUUAGCGUGGCCCCUGUGCAAAGAUGACACACAAACCUGUGAAGCGUUCAAAUGCUGA